rnacentral:rRNA from 1 species
AUACGGAGGAUGCGAGCGUUAUCCGGAUUUAUUGGGUUUAAAGGGAGCGUAGGUGGGAUAUUAAGUCAGCUGUGAAAGUUUGGGGCUCAACCUUAAAAUUGCAGUUGAUACUGGUUUCCUUGAGUACGGUACAGGUGGGCGGAAUUCGUGGUGUAGCGGUGAAAUGCAUAGAUAUGACGAAGAACACCGAUUGCGUAGGCAGCUGACCAGACCGCAAAUGACGCUCAUGCACGAAAGUGCGGGGAUCGAACAGGAUUAGAUACCCUGGUAGUCCGCACAGUAAACGAUGAAUACUUGUUUUCGGCGAUAUAAUGUCGGAGGCAAAGCGAAAGCGAUAAGUAUUCCACCUGGGGAGUACGCCGGCAACGGUGAAACUCAAAGGAAUUGGCGGGG